rnacentral:rRNA from 7 species
UGAGGGGGGCUGCUCCUAGUACGAGAGGACCGGAGUGGACGCAUCACUGGUGUUCGGGUUGUCAUGCCAAUGGCACUGCCCGGUAGCUAAAUGCGGAAGAGAUAAGUGCUGAAAGCAUCUAAGCACGAAACUUGCCCCGAGAUGAGUUCUCCCUGAGACUUAGAGUCUCCUGAAGGAACGUUGAAGACGACGACGUUGAUAGGCCGGGUGUGUAAGCGCAGCGAUGCGUUGAGCUAACCGGUACUAAUGAACCGUGAGGCUUAACCUUACAACGCCGAAG